rnacentral:rRNA from 1 species
UACGGAGGGGACUAGCGUUGUUCGGAAUUACUGGGCGUAAAGCGCACGUAGGCGGAUUUGUAAGUUAGGGGUGAAAUCCCGGGGCUCAACCUCGGAACUGCCCUUGACACUGCAAAUCUCGAGUCCGGAAGAGGUGAGUGGAAUUCCUAGUGUAGAGGUGAAAUGCGUAGAUAUUGGGAAGAACACCGGUGGCGAAGGCGGCUCACUGGCCCGUAACUGACGCUCAGGCGCGAUAGCGUGGGGAUCAAACAGG